rnacentral:rRNA from 1 species
UACGUAGGGGGCGAGCGUUGUCCGGAUUCAUUGGGCGUAAAGCGCUUUAAGGCGGUUCGGUAAGUCGGGUGUGAAACCUCCAGGCUCAACCUGGAGACGCCACUCGAUACUGCUGUGACUAGAGUUCGGUAGGGGAUCACGGAAUUCCUGGUGUAGCGGUGAAAUGCGUAGAUAUCAUUUGGAACGCCAAUGGUGAAAACAGGUAGCUGGGAGUGUGCUGACGCUGAGACACGAAAGCCAGGGGAGCGAACGGG